rnacentral:tRNA from 1 species
ACUUUCAAAGGAUAAAAGUAAUCCAUUGGUCUUAGGAACCAAAAAUCUUGGUGCAAAUCCAAGUA